GAUGAACGCUGGCGGCGUGCCUAAUACAUGCAAGUCGAGCGAACAGAUGAGGAGCUUGCUCCUCUGACGUUAGCGGCGGACGGGUGAGUAACACGUGGAUAACCUACCUAUAAGACUGGGAUAACUUCGGGAAACCGGAGCUAAUACCGGAUAAUAUAUUGAACCGCAUGGUUCAAUAGUGAAAGACGGUUUUGCUGUCACUUAUAGAUGGAUCCGCGCCGCAUUAGCUAGUUGGUAAGGUAACGGCUUACCAAGGCAACGAUGCGUAGCCGACCUGAGAGGGUGAUCGGCCACACUGGCACUGAGACACGGUCCGGACUCCUACGGGAGGCAGCAGUAGGGAAUCUUCCGCAAUGGGCGAAAGCCUGACGGAGCAACGCCGCGUGAGUGAUGCAGGUCUUCGGAUCGUAAAGCUCUGUUAUUAGGGAAGAACAAAUGUGUAAGUAACUAUGCACGUCUUGACGGUACCUAAUCAGAAAGCCACGGCUAACUACGUG
rnacentral:rRNA from 1 species